UUCUGAGCUACUAGACUUCAUGGGCGACA
rnacentral:piRNA from 1 species